CCUGAACUGGUUGACUAUAUAAGUUGAAGGGGUAUAUCGUAUUGGGAACUUCUAGAGCUGAGCGUUGUAUAACAUACAAGCACUAGGACAGACAAAGUAACAAGGUUAUCAUCAUGAAGAUAUUACAACUGAUGCUUUUAGGUUGUGUUGUUAUUGCAGUCGAGGCAGUCAUCACUGGUGAUGCUACAUGUGAUAACAGCAUGCAAUUUUAUGCAGACGGUGUUCUAUAUCCUAACACUAACGACAACGAUUGGACCAAAACAUCACCCAUCAGUAUUUCCGAUAAUACACAAGUUAUUGCCGUAAAAUGUAUGGAUUUUGGUGUAGUUGCUGGCAUCAAAUUGGCAUUGAGUAAUGGCAUCAAAACUGACACAACAUGGAAAUGUUCAGCUACACAUGAAGAUGGCUGGGAAACACCUGGGUUUGAUGACGGGGGCUGGUCAAGCGCUAUAGUGCCGACUGUUUCUAACUGGGGAUCGCAGCCUGCUGCUCUGGAUGGAAAGGCUGACUGGAUUUGGACAACCGGCUUUCGGGGACAGGAUAAAACAGUUUAUUGUAGAAAGGUUAUCAGGGAAUCGAGAGAUUGCGAUUGCUGUGAAUCCAUUCAUGAGAAGUUAGAUCGUCUGAUUGCCUUGUAUUCCAAACCUGGUAAACCUGUUCACCCUGUUCAUCCUCGUUACUUUGGUAAACCUGUUAAACCCAAAACUGAUUAAACCGGCGCAUUGAAAAAAUAAACAAUUUAACAGUGAA